rnacentral:rRNA from 1 species
CCUACGGGUGGCAGCAGUGAGGAAUAUUGGUCAAUGGCCGGAAGGCUGAACCAGCCAAGCCGCGUGAGGGAGGAAGGCGCAGAGCGUCGCAGACCUCUUUUGCCGGGGGACAAAAGGCCGGACUCGUCCGGUCCUGAGGGUACCCGGAGAAAAAGCAUCGGCUAACUCCGUGCCAGCAGCCGCGGUAAUACGGAGGAUGCGAGCGUUAUCCGGAUUUAUUGGGUUUAAAGGGUGCGUAGGCGGGUUAUCAAGUCAGCGGUAAAAUCGUGGAGCUCAACUCCAUCCAGCCGUUGAAACUGAUGAUCUUGAGUGGGCGAGAAGUAUGCGGAAUGCGUGGUGUAGCGGUGAAAUGCAUAGAUAUCACGCAGAACUCCGAUUGCGAAGGCAGCAUACCGGCGCCCGACUGACGCUGAAGCACGAAAGCGUGGGUAUCGAACAGGAUUAGAUACCCUUGUAGUC